UCCGAGCUCUCAACUCUCACGCAAUGACCGUGUGACACAUGCAUUUGACUGUGUGUCCUUCCUCCAUUAUGUUCUGAAGAACAACAGCAGAGGAUAACUGAGGAUAACUUUUUAUUAUCACGGUCAGCACCGACACCCCGAGGAGUUUAUCCUUGUUUUCUACCACAGAGAAAAUAAUCCAAGCUGCGGAAACUCCUAAAAGGUUGAACCAAAGAAUCAAAGCGGAGCUACGUUUUUGUUAGAGGAAACAGAGUUUGGACAUUUUCUCCGCAUAUUUCUGACUGUAAAACAACAAUGUUCAACCCCAGAUUGUUUCCGCUGGUUCUGGUGCUGACCGGAGUUCUGUGUUCUCCUGUAAAGGGAAGACCUCUGCUCCAAGUAAACAACGCAGAGGAACACUCCAACGUCACACUGACACUGUCUGCAUUUAACACAAUCUCUGACGUUGUGUCCAUUGAGCUGAGAAACGAAAGCAACAUUUGUAUUUAUCGGUACCUCAACACAUCUCCGACUGAGCCGCACGUAGAUGCUGAGUUCAAAGGUCGACUGCAGUGUGAUCCUCAUCUCGACGGGAGCGGACAGAUUAAAUGUGUCCUGACUGACCUGAGGAUGAACGACACGGGAAGUUAUAAGGGAAUCGUUAAAGUUCGUGGAAAAGCUGGUGAAAGACCGUGUAAUACAACAUGGCAGCUUGAAGUUGUCAAAGCUUCAAUACAUCCAACUCAAGAAGCAGCUUUAAAGCAUCAAACUCCAGAAGAAACUCCAGAACCAC